ACAUUUGAUUUUCACGAUUUGAUG
rnacentral:siRNA from 1 species